rnacentral:misc_RNA from 1 species
GAUGAAGAACGCAGCGAAAUGCGAUAAGUAAUGUGAAUUGCAGAAUUCAGUGAAUCAUCGAAUCUUUGAACGCACCUUGCGCCCUUUGGCCAUUCCGAAGGGCAUGCCUGUUUGAGUAUCAUGAACACCUCAACUCUUUAUGGUUUUCCAUGAUGAGCUUGGACUCUGGGGGUUUUGCUGGCUCACAGUCGGCUCCUCUGAAAUGAAUCAGCUUACCAGUGUUUAGUGGGUAUCAUAGGUGUGAUAACUAUCUACGCUUGUGGUUUUUCCACCAGGUAACCUUCAGCAGUGGAGGUUCGCUGGAGCUCAUAGAUGUCUCUCCUCAGUGAGGACAGCCCUUUGAAUGUUUGAUCUCAAAUCAGGUAGGACUACCCGCUGAACUUAAGCAUAUCAAUAAGCGGAGGA